rnacentral:rRNA from 1 species
GACGAAGGAUGCAAGCGUUAUCCGGAUUCAUUGGGUUUAAAGGGAGCGUAGGUGGUCUUAUAAGUCAGUGGUGAAAUCUCUGGGCUUAACCCAGAAAUUGCCAUUGAUACUGUAGGACUUGAGUAUAGUUGCCGUUGGCGGAAUAUGACAUGUAGUGGUGAAAUACAUAGAGAUGUCAUAGAACACCGAUUGCGAAGGCAGCUAACGAAACUAUAACUGACACUGAGGCUCGAAAGUGUGGGGAUCAAACAGGG